CAUGGGGGGGGCCUAUACAUGCAGUCGAACGAGUUCUGAUUAUUGAAAGGUGCUUGCAUCUUGAUUUAAUUUUGAACGAGUGGCGGACGGGUGAGUAACACGUGGGUAACCUGCCCUUAAGUGGGGGAUAACAUUUGGAAACAGAUGCUAAUACCGCAUAAAUCCAAGAACCGCAUGGUUCUUGGCUGAAAGAUGGCGUAAGCUAUCGCUUUUGGAUGGACCCGCGGCGUAUUAGCUAGUUGGUGAGGUAACGGCUCACCAAGGCAAUGAUACGUAGCCGAACUGAGAGGUUGAUCGGCCACAUUGGGACUGAGACACGGCCCAAACUCCUACGGGAGGCAGCAGUAGGGAAUCUUCCACAAUGGACGCAAGUCUGAUGGAGCAACGCCGCGUGAGUGAAGAAGGCUUUCGGGUCGUAAAACUCUGUUGUUGGAGAAGAAUGGUCGGCAGAGUAACUGUUGUCGGCGUGACGGUAUCCAACCAGAAAGCCACGGCUAACUACGUGCCAGCAGCCGCGGUAAUACGUAGGUGGCAAGCGUUAUCCGGAUUUAUUGGGCGUAAAGCGAGCGCAGGCGGUUUUUUAAGUCUGAUGUGAAAGCCCUCGGCUUAACCGAGGAAGUGCAUCGGAAACUGGGAAACUUGAGUGCAGAAGAGGACAGUGGAACUCCAUGUGUAGCGGUGAAAUGCGUAGAUAUAUGGAAGAACACCAGUGGCGAAGGCGGCUGUCUGGUCUGUAACUGACGCUGAGGCUCGAAAGCAUGGGUAGCGAACAGGAUUAGAUACCCUGGUAGUCCAUGCCGUAAACGAUGAAUGCUAGGUGUUGGAGGGUUUCCGCCCUUCAGUGCCGCAGCUAACGCAUUAAGCAUUCCGCCUGGGGAGUACGACCGCAAGGUUGAAACUCAAAGGAAUUGACGGGGGCCCGCACAAGCGGUGGAGCAUGUGGUUUAAUUCGAAGCAACGCGAAGAACCUUACCAGGUCUUGACAUCUUUUGAUCACCUGAGAGAUCAGGUUUCCCCUUCGGGGGCAAAAUGACAGGUGGUGCAUGGUUGUCGUCAGCUCGUGUCGUGAGAUGUUGGGUUAAGUCCCGCAACGAGCGCAACCCUUAUGACUAGUUGCCAGCAUUUAGUUGGGCACUCUAGUAAGACUGCCGGUGACAAACCGGAGGAAGGUGGGGAUGACGUCAAAUCAUCAUGCCCCUUAUGACCUGGGCUACACACGUGCUACAAUGGAUGGUACAACGAGUUGCGAGACCGCGAGGUCAAGCUAAUCUCUUAAAGCCAUUCUCAGUUCGGACUGUAGGCUGCAACUCGCCUACACGAAGUCGGAAUCGCUAGUAAUCGCGGAUCAGCACGCCGCGGUGAAUACGUUCCCGGGCCUUGUACACACCGCCCGUCACACCAUGAGAGUUUGUAACACCCGAAGCCGGUGGCGUAACCCUUUUAGGGAGCGAGCCGUCUAAGGGAUGU
rnacentral:rRNA from 1 species